rnacentral:rRNA from 1 species
GACGAACGCUGGCGGCGUGCUUAACACAUGCAAGUCGAACGGAAAGUCCCUGCUUUUUUGGGGUGCUCGAGUGGCGAACGGGUGAGUAACACGUGAGUAACCUGCCCUUGACUUUGGGGUAACUUCAGGAAACUGGGGCUAAUACCGGAUAGGAGCUCCUGCUGCAUGGUGGGGGUUGGAAAGUUUCGGCGGUUGGGGAUGGACUCGCGGCUUAUCAGCUUGUUGGUGGGGUAGUGGCUUACCAAGGCUUUGACGGGUAGCCGGCCUGAGAGGGUGACCGGACACAUUGGGACUGAGAUACGGCCCAGACCCCUACGGGAGGCAGCAGUGGGGAAUAUUGCACAAUGGGCGGAGGCCUGAUGCAGCAACGCCGCGUGCGGGAUGACGGCCUUCGGGUUGUAAACCGCUUUCGCCUGUGACGAAGCGUGAGUGACGGUAAUGGGUAAAGAAGCACCGGCUAACUACGUG